rnacentral:rRNA from 1 species
AGCGAACGCUGGCGGCAGUCCUAACACAUGCAAGUCGAACGAACUCUUCGGAUUUAGUGGCCGCCGUCUGUGUAACACGUGGGAACGUUCCUUUAUGUUCAGCAUACCUCAGGGACUCUUGUGCUAAUACCGAAUGUGCCCUUCGGGGGAAAGAUUUAUCGCCUUUCGAGCGUCCCGAGUCUGAUUCGCUAGUUCGUGAGGUAAAGGCUCACGAAGGCGCCGAUCAGUAGCUGGUCUGAGAGGAUGAUCAGCCACAUUGGGACUGAGACGCGGCCCAAACUCCUACGAGAGGCAGCAGUGGGGAAUCGUGCGCAAUGGGGGAAAGGCUGACGCUGCUAAGCCGCGUGAAUGAUGAAGGUCUGGAGAUUAUAAAAUUCUAUCAACAAGGAAGGUAAUGACGGUACACGGAGAAGAAGCCCCGGCUAACUUCGUG